CUAAUGCACCGGAUCCCA
rnacentral:snRNA from 1 species